rnacentral:rRNA from 1 species
GUGGCUGUAUGGCACCGAACAGACCUGAUCUCCUCCUUUCUUGGAAGCUAAGCAGGGUCAGGCUUUGUUAGGACUUGGAUGGGAGACCACCUUGGAAUAGCAU